rnacentral:rRNA from 1 species
UACGUAGGGUGCGAGCGUUGUCCGGAAUUAUUGGGCGUAAAGAGCUCGUAGGCGGCUUGUCGCGUCGACUGUGAAAACCCGCGGCUCAACCGCGGGCCUGCAGCCGAUACGGGCAGGCUAGAGUUCGGUAGGGGAGACUGGAAUUCCUGGUGUAGCGGUGAAAUGCGCAGAUAUCAUUUGGAACGCCAAUGGUGAAAACAGGUAGCUGGGAGUGUGCUGACGCUGAGACACGAAAGCCAGGGGAGCGAACGGG